rnacentral:rRNA from 1 species
GAUGAACGCUGGCGGCGUGCCUAAUACAUGCAAGUCGAGCGAAUGGAUUAAGAGCUUGCUCUUAUGAAGUUAGCGGCGGACGGGUGAGUAACACGUGGGUAACCUGCCCAUAAGACUGGGAUAACUCCGGGAAACCGGGGCUAAUACCGGAUAACAUUUUGAACCGCAUGGUCCGAAAUUGAAAGGCGGCUUCGGCUGUCACUUAUGGAUGGACACGCGUCGCAUUAGCUAGUUGGUGAGGUAACGGCUCACCAAGGCAACGAUGCGUAGCCGACCUGAGAGGGUGAUCGGCCAACCUGGGACUGAGACACGGCCCAGACUCCUACGGGAGGCAGCAGUAGGGAAUCUUCCGCAAUGGACGAAAGUCUGACGGAGCAACGCCGCGUGAGUGAUGAAGGCUUUCGGGUCGUAAAACUCUGUUGUUAGGGAAGAACAAGUGCUAGUUGAAUAAGCUGGCACCUUGACGGUACCUAACCAGAAAGCCACGGCUAACUACGUGCCAGCCGCCGCGGUAA